rnacentral:rRNA from 1 species
GUGACCGAUAGUGAACCAGUACCGUGAGGGAAAGGUGAAAAGAACCCCGGGAGGGGAGUGAAAAGAAUCUGAAACUGUAUGCUUACAAGAUGUCAGAGACCGUUAAAGGUUGAUGACGUGCCUAUUGAAGAAUGAGCCGGCGAGUUAUGUAUACAUGCGAGGUUAAGGAGAAGAUCCGGAGCCGUAGCGAAAGCGAGUCUGAAUAGGGCGUUCAGUAUGUGUAUGUAGACCCGAAACCCGACGAUCUAGCCAUGAUCAAGAUGAAGUAAGGGUCAAACCUUAUGGAGGUCUGAACCGACGUUCGUUGAAACGACCGCGGAUGAAUUGUGGCUCGUGGUGAAAUUCCAAUCGAGUCGGGUAAUAGCUGGUUCUCCUCGAAAUAGCUUUAGGGCUAGCCUCAGAACACUACAUUUUGGAGGUAGAGCACUGAAUGAAAGCGAGCCGCGCCAAGCGGUAUCAAUUUCAAUCAAACUCCGAAUUCCGAGAUGCUUAUUCUGGGAGUCAGACUGUGGGAGAUAAGUUUCAUGGUCAAAAGGGCAACAGCCCGGACCGCCAACUAAGGUCCCUAAAUUCGCGCUAAGUGUUAAAGGAUGUAGAGAUACUUAAACAGCUAGGAUGUUGGCUCAGAGGCAGCCAUCAUUUAAAGAAUGCGUAACAGCUCACUAGUCAAGUGUCUCCGCGCCGAAAAUUUACCGGGGCUAAGCGCGAUACCGAAGUUGCGGAUAUUUCUAAAGAAAUGUGGUAGGGGAGCGUUCCAUUAGCAUAGAAGCCAUACCGGAAGGAGUGGUGGAGCGAAUGGAAGUGAGAAUGCCGGCGUAAGUAACGAUAAGAGGUGAGAAUCCUCUUCACCAUUUGACUAAGGUUUCCUGGGCUAGGUUCGUCCACCCAGGGUCAGUCGGGACCUAAGACGAGGCCGAAAGGCGUAGCCGAUGGACAGCAGGUUAAUAUUCCUGAACCCGGUUGUGUGCGAUCGCAGUGACGAAAGCGGUUAGGUUUACCCACGAAUGGAAGUGUGGGGAGAUAGUGAUAAGCUGUCGGCUAGAAUCCGACACCAAGUGAAACACCGAAGUACGAAAGGGGUGACCUGAGUAGGAAGUAGCUGAUACCGAUUUCCAAGAAAAGCUGCUAGCUUAAGCACAAUCGGCCCGUACCGAGAACGGACACACGUGGUCAAGGAGAGUAUCCUAAGGUGAGCGAGAUAACUGUUGUUAAGGAACUCUGCAAAAUUACUUCGUAAGUUAGCGAGAAGAAGUGCUCCGUAAAAGGAGCCGCAGUGAAGAGGCCCAAGUAACUGUUUACCAAAAACACAGCUCUAUGCUAAGUCGUAAGACGAUGUAUAUGGGGUGAAGCCUGCCCGGUGCCGGAAGGUUAAUAGGAGAGGUGAAAGCUUUGAAUUGAAGCCCCGGUGAACGGCGGCCGUAACUAUAACGGUCCUAAGGUAGCGAAAUUCCUUGUCAGGU